UACAGAGGGGGCAAGCGUUGUUCGGAAUUACUGGGCGUAAAGGGCGUGUAGGCGGUCUGUUAAGUCUGGCGUGAAAGCUCUCGGCUAAACCGGGAGAGGUCGUUGGAUACUGGCAGACUAGAGGACGGUAGAGGCGUGUGGAAUUCCGGGUGUAGUGGUGAAAUGCGUAGAGAUCCGGAGGAACACCAGUGGCGAAGGCGACACGCUGGGCCGUACCUGACGCUAAAGCGCGACAGCAUGGGGAGCAAACGGG
rnacentral:rRNA from 1 species